UACGUAGGGUGCGAGCGUUGUCCGGAUUUAUUGGGCGUAAAGAGCUUGUAGGCGGCUCGUCACGUCGGGUGUGAAAACUCGCGGCUCAACCGCGAGCCUGCACCCGAUACGGGCGGGCUAGAGUUCGGCAGGGGAGACUGGAAUUCCUGGUGUAGCGGUGGAAUGCGCAGAUAUCAGGAGGACCACCGGUGGCGAAGGCGGGUCUCUGGGCCGAUACUGACGCUGAGAAGCGAAAGCGUGGGGAGCGAACAGG
rnacentral:rRNA from 1 species